rnacentral:rRNA from 1 species
UAUUGAAGAAUGAGCCAACGAGUUAUUUUUUAUUGCUUGUUUAAGUCUGGAAACAGACGGAAGCUUAGGGAAACCGAGUGUUAAUAGCGCGUAACAUUACUUAUAAUUUAUGGCCGAUAAAUUUCGGCCUUGCCGAUUCUUAUUGGCUAUUCAUUAUGAGUUUUGUAGGCAGUAAGAAAUAGACCCGAAGCCAGACGAGCUUGCCCUGACCAGGGUGAAGGUUGAUGAAAGUCAACCGGAGGCCCGAACCGGUACAUUGUGCAAGAUGUUCGGAUGAGUUGGGGUAAGGAGUGAAAAGCUUAUCGAGUUUGGUAAUAGCUGGUUCUCUCCGAAAUAGUUUUAGGACUAGCGUUCAGUUGUUUUAGUAGGGGGUAGAGCUACUGGUUAGAGUUGACAGGAGGAAACUUCGCGACUUUAGUCAAACUCCGAAUACCUGCUAAAGAUGCUGGACAGUUAGAAGGUGGGGGCUAAGCUCCAUCUUCGAAAGGGAAACAGCCCUGAUCGCAGUCUAAGGUCCCUAAAUUUAUGCUAAGUGUUAAAGGUAGUCAUUUUCCUUAGACAGAUAGGAGGUUGGCUUAGAGGUAGUCAUCCUUUAAAGAGUGUGUAACAACUCACUAUUCGAGGACGGUGGCGCCGAAAAUUUACCGGGGCUAAGCAUAAUACCGAAGACGCGGAUUUUCCGGCGUAAGCCGGGAAGUGGUAGGAGAGCAUUCUUUGAGCAUUGAAGCCGUAUUCGUGAGAAGCGGUGGAGCUCAAGGAAGAGAGAAUGUUGGCAUGAGUAAUCGCAAUUCCGAUUAAAACUCGGAACACCGUAAGUCCAAGGUUUCCUCCGCAACGGAAUUCGACGGAGGGUUAGACGAUCCUAAGGCAAUGGCGAAAGCCGCAGCCGAAAGGGAAACCGGUUAAUAUUCCGGUUCUCCUGUUUUUUUCGAUGGGAUAACGAGACGUAGUAGAUUGGGUGCCUUAAUGGUUUGGCAUCCUUGAUCGAGAACGGAGGGUUGGCAAAUCCGCCUUCCUGCCUUUAAUGGCAAGUUUCAGAGAAGAGGUGAGUUAGGGUUUUUGCCCUGGCAAGCUGAUCGAGCCCGUCUCCAAGAAAAAUCUCUAAGGCUAGGAAAACAGGAUCCGUACCGUAAACCGCCACAGGUGGACGAGGCGAGUAGCCUCAGGUGAACGGGUGAUUCCUCGUUAAGGAACUCGGCAAAAAAGCUGGGCGUAACUUCGGGAGAAGCCCUGCCUGCUUGAUCUUCGGAUUGGGCGGGCCGCAGCGAAAGAUUCCCUGGCGACUGUUUAACAAAAACACAGCUCCCUGCGAACUCGUAAGAGGAUGUAUAGGGGGUGAUGCCUGACCGAUGCGAGAAGGUUAACGUUGGGUGUGUGCGUUGCGCAAGCGAUGCAUGCUCACCGACCGAAGCCCUCGUCAAUGUCGGCCGUAACUAUAACGGUCCAAAGGUAGCGCAUUUCCUUUCCGGGUAAGUUCCGGAGCGCAUGAAAGGCGUAACGACUGGGGAACUGUCUCAACGAGGAGCCCGAUGAAAAUGCGAUUCCCGUGAAGACGCGGGAUACCGGUAGCAAGACGAAAAGACCCUAGAAGCUUUACUGUAGUUUGGUAUUGAUAUUAACGUUUGCUUGCGUAGCGUAGCAGGGAGACUUUGAAGCGCCGUUUUUGGAUGGCGUGGAGUCGUCAAUGAAACACCUGUCUUUCAAAUUUUAAUAUCUAAUCCCGGCGGAAAAAACGCCGAGAGACAGUGCCUGAUGGGCAGUUUUUCUGGGGCGGAACCCUCCAAAAAGGUAACGGAGGGGUUUAUCAAGGUCGGCUUGGCGCGGAUGGAAACCGUGCUGGACGUGUAAAGGCACAAGCCGGCUUGACUGCAAGACCUACAAGUCGCGCAGCCGCGAAAGCGGAACUUAGCGACCCGACAACACUUUAUAGGAAGGUUGGAGACAACGGAUAAAAGUUACUCUAGGGAUAACAGGCUGGUGGAAUCCGAGAGUCCAUAUCGACGAUUCCGCUCGGCACCUCGAUGUCGGCUCACCACAUCCCGGGGGUGGAGAAGCUCCCAAGGGUUUGGCUGUUCGCCAAUUAAAGUGGUACGCGAGCUGGGUUCAGACCGUCAACAAAGAACCCAUAACGACAAUCGAACACGGCGGCAUAGAAGAGUAAUUUUCUAUGCAAAAUCGACUCAUAUCGGUGAAGUCCUAAGAAAUUAUCAACCUGUGAUUUUUGGGAUAAUACCGAGGGAAGUUAUAAAUUAUUUAAUUUAUUAACCCCGUAGAGACUCAUCCUUAUGGAUGGAACUCCGAUAUUAUCGGAGUUAAUACGUCGAUCUCCUCUAAUUUUAGAGGAUGGUGGUAUAGUCCGAUCCCGUCAGUAAUGGCGGAAAAUAAUAAAUUUGCGUGAGACAGGUUGGCCUCUAUCUGCUAUCGGCGUUAAGUAUUUGAGGGAAGUUGAUCCUAGUACGAGAGGACCGGAUUGAACAAACCUCUGGUCUACCGGCUUUGGCACCAGCUGAAGUGCCGGGUAGCUAUGUUUGGUGCGGAUAAGCGCUGAAAGCAUCUAAGCGCGAAGCCCAUCCCAAGAUUAGAUACUUGUUCGCAAGAACGAGAGUUCGUGGAAGACUACCACGUUGAUAGGCUCUAGGUGUAAGCGCCGUAAGGCGUGUUACUCGAUUGAUGGAAGAUUGAAGGAGAACGAUU